rnacentral:sRNA from 1 species
UGCAAUAGCAUAGGCUCCCGAGGGGCGGCGGCUCACUCUCUAUCCCGAACAGGGAGGGGGUGAGAAUAUGGAGGUCUAUCAAGCACUGACGUUGAUGAUUUCAUUUGCAACGUUGAUCGUGUUGAUCUUGUCCUUCGACAGAAAAAAGAAGUAACCGCCCCUUGAGCUACCAACUCUGGCGGUUACUUCUCAUGUAACGAAUGGAGCCGCACCCCUUGGUAGGGGAUAUGCUAUUGCAUGGACCGUUCCGGUUGCCGCCGGGGCG